AUUUUUCAAACAAAAAAAAACUGUUUUAAAUAAAUAUACAGAUAUGUUAUUAUUUUUUUUUUAUUAUCUGUAUAAUUAUUAUUACUAUAUGAAUGUAACUAAGAACUAUAUUUCUAUAACUAAUUUUUUUUUUCUUCUUAAUAAAAAAAAAAUUGAUUUAAAAUAUUCUUUACCCUAUGCAUUAGCACGAAAUGAUAACAAAGAGGAAACAGAAAAAUUGAAUUUGUUUUUAUAUAUUACGGAGCGUAGUGAUGAUAGUACUUUUAUUAGUGCACACGUCAAUGGUGGUGAUAACAUAGUAACAAAAGAAAAAGCGGAUAAACUGAAAAACUGUAAUCGGGACCUAACAUAUAAGAGCAACCCGAACUGUAAUAGCGAUAACAACUUUGGAAUUAAUGACAAAUACAAACGCAACCAUCAAUGCGACACUAAAUACAAUUGGAAAUAUAUUAGCAUAAUUAAUCCUAUGUGCACAUUAUUAUUAAAUAUACCCAUAGAAGAAACACUAAACAGGUACUUUAACAUUUUAGAACUGUGUAUGCUAAAAGGUAUAAACAAAGUAGCCAAUUUUUUUAUUAAUAAGUUAGAAUAUAUAUAUAAUAACAAAAGAUAUAUUAAUGACGUGUUAAGAAAAAAUAUAAAAAUAGUUAAACACAUGUUUUGUGAUGCGGAUAGCGCGAGUGGUACCGUAUGUGAUGACGUUAGUAACGCCACUAAUAAUAACGCAAAAAAAAUACUUCUUAAAGAAAUUGUUUCAAUAAACAUGAUACUCUGUUUGCGUUUACUUUACCUUUUAAUUAACGUAUUAAAAUAUUUUUUAAACUUUGAAAAAAAUAAUACAAAUAAUAAUAACAAGGAGUCCAUUAAACACAAUUUUACUUUUUUGAUGUCUCAUAAAUAUAUUAUUAUUAAGAGCUUAAUGAAAAUAAUCAUAUCAGUCCCCUUCGCACUGAUAAGAUACCUUUGUGUAUCUAUUUUUUAUAUACUGUCAUUUUUUGACUAUAAUUCUUUUAUUUCGAACCCUAUUAUUCAAG
rnacentral:lncRNA from 1 species